rnacentral:rRNA from 1 species
CGAUACUUUCAGCACUUAUGCAUCGGAUUCCAUCAGAACUCCGCAGUUAAGCGUGCUUCGACGAGAAUAGUUCUAAGAUGAGCAGACAUAUAUUCAGUUUCCUUUGCUAGGUAAUGC